rnacentral:tRNA from 1 species
AGUGAAAAUAGCUUAAUAGGCAGAGCAAGAGUUUGUGGGGCUAAAGGUUAAGAGUUCAAGUCUCUUUUUUCACU